rnacentral:rRNA from 1 species
UACGUAGGUGACGAGCGUUAUCCGGAAUUACUGGGCGUAAAGCGCACGCAAGCGGCUGGACAAGUCUGGCGUGAAAUCCUCUGGCUUAACCAGGGGCGGUCGCUGGAGACUGUUCGGCUUGAGGCGAUGAGAGGGGUGCAGAAUUCCCGGUGUAGUGGUGGAAUGCGUAGAUAUCGGGAGGAAUACCAGUGGCGAAAGCGGCACCCUGGCGUCGUACUGACGCACAUGUGCGAAAGCGUGGGGAGCGAACGGG